ACGAUCUGCUUGUUCAUCUGAGUGUCGGCACAAACCAGCAGAGGCGGUGACGAUGCUCUCGGGCAUAGAGGCGGCGGCAGGGGAAUACGAGGACUCGGAGCUGCGGUGCCGCGUGGCUGUGGAGGAGCUGAGCCCGGGCGGGCAGCCGCGAAGGCGCCAGGCCCUGCGCACCGCGGAGCUGAGCCUGGGUCGCAACGAGCGCCGCGAGUUGAUGCUGCGGCUGCAAGCGCCAGGACCCGCGGGGCGGCCGCGCUGCUUCCCUCUGCGCGCCGCGCGCCUCUUCACGCGUUUCGCCGAGGCCGGGCGCAGCACCCUGCGGCUCCCCGCCCACGACACCCCGGGGGCCGGCGCAGUGCAGCUGCUGCUCUCGGACUGCCCCCCAGACCGCCUGCGCCGCUUCCUGCGCACAUUGCGCCUCAAGCUGGCUGCGGCCCCGGGUCCCGGGCCGGCCUCCGCCCGAGCGCAGCUGCUGGGCCCGCGGCCCCGCGACUUCGUCACCAUCAGCCCUGUGCAGCCCGAGGAGCGGCGGCUCAGGGCGGCCACCCGGGUUCCGGACACUACGCUGGUGAAGCGGCCUGUGGAGCCCCAGGCUGGGGCCGAGCCUAGCACAGAAGCCCCAAGGUGGCCCCUGCCUGUGAAGAGGCUGAGCUUGCCCUCCACCAAGCCACAGCUUUCUGAGGAACAGGCUGCUGUGCUGAGGGCCGUCCUGAAAGGCCAGAGCAUCUUCUUCACUGGGAGUGCAGGUAGUGGGGGCAGAGAGGAGGUAGGGGGACAGUGGUGGGGUGGGAUAGAGGAACAGGGAGACCUGUCUAACUUUGCCCCUGUCCAGGAACAGGGAAGUCAUAUCUGCUAAAGCGAAUCCUGGGCUCACUGCCCCCCACAGGCACUGUGGCCACUGCCAGCACUGGGGUGGCAGCCUGCCACAUCGGGGGCACCACCCUCCAUGCCUUUGCAGGUAAGUAGGAACCCCUAGAGCUUGAGCUAAGAGCAAGCCCAGCUUCUGGGAAGGGAGAGAGGGGAGGUCUGCAUAAAGAGGGAGUUUUGGGGGCUGGGCGCCGUGGCUCACUCUUGUAAUCCCAAAAUUUUAGGAGGCCAAGGUGGGAGGAUCGCUUGAGCCCAGGAGUUUGAGACCAGCCUGGCCAACACAGUAAACCCUGUCUCCACAAAAUUUAAAAAUUAGCGGCCGGGCGCGGUGGCUCACGCCUGUAAUCCCAGCACUUUGGGAGGCCGAGGCGGACAGAUCACAAGGUCAGGAGAUCAAGACUAUCCUGGCUAACAUGGUAAAACCCCGUCUCUACUAAAAAUACAAAAAAAUUAGCCAGGCAUGGUGGCAAGCGCCUGUAGUCCCAGCUACUCUGGAGGCUGAGGCAGGAGAAUAGUGUGAACCCAGGAGGCAGAGCUUGCAGUGAGCCGAGAUCACGCCACUGCACUUGAGCCUGGGCGACACAGCGAGACUCCAUCUCAAAACAAAACAAAACAAAAUUAGCUGAGCAUGGUGGUGUGUGCCUGUAGUCCCAGCUACUAUGGAGGUUGAGGUGGGAGGAUCGCUUGAGCCCAUGAGGCCCAGGUUACAGUGAGCCAAGAUUGUGCCACUGCACUUCAGCCUGGGUGACAGAAAGAGACCUCUC
rnacentral:sRNA from 1 species